UCACAGGUCACUGCUGCUCUUUGAAUUAAACUCCUCCAAGUAAAAUACCCCCCGGAGAGGUUACCUCGGCAACAUCGUGUAAACUCAACAGCCCCGUGUCGUAGGAGCUGCCUGCAGAAAGAAGUGCCUGUGAGCUCCGCAGUCAGGAAAAGACGCCGAAAAUCGAAUCCAAAAGUGUGUAAUCUAUGUUGAAUUCCUCGCUGGCCAGCAAAGGAAGGCGGCUGUGAGCUGAAAAUGCUUUGUAACUUCUCUUUAGGUUGCUGUGCCUCUUUCGCUCUUUGCUACUGAAGCACCAGGUUUCUGGACCUUAAUACAUUUAAGGACAGUAUGUCUGACAACCAACAAAAUAAGAGGAGAAGCAAAAAAGGUUGUGGAAGUGUUGCUGCUCUUCAGGAUGCAGAUAAGACAAUGGAAGAAAUGCAUCAGUCAUACAAAGCUCUAGGAAAAAACAGGUUAAUCAUAUUACUGUUUAAUUUGCAGUUGAGUGUGCACAAAUGAAGACAAAGCAGGUAGUAGUCUGUGAGUAAGGAAAUAUUUCUUAAGUGCCAGACAUUAUAUUCAGCUUUAUAUGUUGUGUGGUGUUUAUCUCUUCCCAAUGGCAAUUGUUGGCCACUGCUGGAGGCAGGAUAUUGCAUUAGAUGGACAAAUUAUUUGGUAGAAUAUGGAAAAAUAUGGGAUAUGGUUUUACAUCAGAAUUUGACUUAUUAAAACCAGACAAUUGCAUACAGCUUUAAGAUAAACUUAGGCUGUAUUUUUGUACCUCUUUUCAGCAACAAUAUUUAUCUUUCUCCAUAUUUUUCAUUCUUCAGAAAACAGGUGGCAGGAAUCUGAGGCUUGUCUGCACAGCCUCUCUUCUUUCAGGCAGGCCAGAGCAUAUUUUUUA
rnacentral:lncRNA from 1 species